GGCGCGCAAAUUACCCACUCCCGGCACGGGGAGGUAGUGACGAAAAAUAACGAUACGGGACUCAUCCGAGGCCCCGUAAUCGGAAUGAGUACACUUUAAAUCCUUUAACAAGGACCAAUUGGAGGGCAAGUCUGGUGCCAGCAGCCGCGGUAAUUCCAGCUCCAAUAGCGUAUAUUAAAGUUGUUGCGGUUAAAAAGCUCGUAGUCGAAUUUGUGUCUCAUGCCGCUGGUUCAUCGUUCGCGGUGUAAACUGGCGUGACAUGGGACGUCCUGCCGGUGGGCUUAGCUCUUAACGGGGCGGCCCUAUAUAAUCCUGCCGCGUUGCUCUUAAUCGAGUGUCGAGGUGGGCCGGCUCAUUUACUUUGAACAAAUUAAAGUGCUUAAAGCAGGCUAAAAUUUUGCCUGAAUACGUGUGCAUGGAAUAAUGGAAUAGGACCUCGGUUCUAUUUUGUUGGUUUUAGGAACACGAGGUAAUGAUUAAUAGGAACGGAUGGGGGCAUUCGUAUUGCGACGUUAGAGGUGAAAUUCUUGGAUCGUCGCAAGACGAACAUAAGCGAAAGCAUUUGCCAAAAACGUUUUCAUUGAUCAAGAACGAAAGUUAGAGGUUCGAAGGCGAUCAGAUACCGCCCUAGUUCUAACCAUAAACGAUGCCAGCCAGCGAUCCGCCGAUGUUCCUCCGAUGACUCGGCGGGCAGCUUCCGGGAAACCAAAGCUUUUGGGUUCCGGGGGAAGUAUGGUUGCAAAGCUGAAACUUAAAGGAAUUGACGGAAGGGCACCACCAGGAGUGGAGCCUGCGGCUUAAUUUGACUCAACACGGGAAACCUCACCAGGCCCAGACACUGGAAGGAUUGACAGAUUGAGAGCUCUUUCUUGAUUCAGUGGGUGGUGGUGCAUGGCCGUUCUUAGUUGGUGGAGCGAUUUGUCUGGU
rnacentral:rRNA from 1 species